AUAAUUAUAGCAUCAGGCCCAGGGUACGUACAAUGGAGCAUUCCUGGCUCCAGGAAGUUGCCUCUCAAUCUCAGUAAUCGUAUUGCACCUUUUGGCCAUUUGUACAACACUCACUGUGUGGAGCCGUUGUGAAGAAAAUUAAUUAUUGGGCUUAUAUGAGGCUUUAUAACAGAUUAACAUUUGGGCUUUUCUUCAUAAAUGGGCUUCAGAGUUUGUUGCAUUAGUGACUGGCCCAUCCCUCGGUUGCUUUGUCCUUCGUUGUUGUGCUCUGUUUUCUCUUCAGACAUAGACUUACAAGAUAGUGGGCCUGAUGUGCUCCUACUUCGAUUUGUUUGGUUCAACAAAAAAGUUUCUUUGGAUUUAUUUUCAAUUGGGUUGAUUUACAACCAUUAUUAGAGUGGGCUUUUAUAACAUCUGA